rnacentral:rRNA from 1 species
AUUGAACGCUGGCGGCAUGCUUUACACAUGCAAGUCGAACGGUAACAGGCCGCAAGGUGCUGACGAGUGGCGAACGGGUGAGUAAUGCAUCGGAACGUGCCCAGUCGUGGGGGAUAACGCAGCGAAAGCUGCGCUAAUACCGCAUACGAUCUAUGGAUGAAAGCGGGGGACCGUAAGGCCUCGCGCGAUUGGACCGGCCGAUGUCAGAUUAGGUAGUUGGUGGGGUAAAGGCUCACCAAGCCAACGAUCUGUAGCUGGUCUGAGAGGACGACCAGCCACACUGGGACUGAGACACGGCCCAGACUCCUACGGGAGGCAGCAGUGGGGAAUUUUGGACAAUGGGCGCAAGCCUGAUCCAGCAAUGCCGCGUGCAGGAAGAAGGCCUUCGGGUUGUAAACUGCUUUUGUACGGAACGAAAAGGCUCUGGAUAAUACCUGGGGCUCAUGACGGUACCGUAAGAAUAAGCACCGGCUAACUACGUGCCAGCCGCCGCUGUAACAC